AUCGCGCGUGCGCACGGCGGCGCAACGAAUCCAUCCCUCGCUCCCUUUGGUCCUCAACUUCUGAUCCCUGCAGCCCACAGCGGGCAGCAGGCAUCGAUCCAAUUUCAAAGCCACAACCCACAGAUUCAUCUAUCCAAGUCAAUUCCGAAUUGUUCAGGCAAGAUAAUUUGCAAGGGAAUACUUGAAUGAUUGCUUGGUCACAUUCGUUUAAAGGGAAUUCUUCUUGCAAGUUACGGACGAGGACAUCAUCACUCAUUUUCAAAGCAUCAAGGAUCGCAAAGUUAUCUUGUAAUUUGUCCUCGAACUGAAGAUGAACGGGGGAACUAUGCUUGGGAGCAACUGCUCUUCAACGAGAGGCGCCGGGGCCGCAUAAUGACGGCAAUGGAGAGGUUGGGGUUCAUCUUAUGCUAACAAAUGACGAGGCACCUACAAAAUAAUGAAUCGAAGGCAACGGAGAGGAUGCUGAGGUGACAGAAGAAAACUGAAAGCAUGUCUGAUUGAUGGCGAUUUUUGAAGGUGAGAAGGCAAAAUGGAUUAUGUGUUUUGUUGUGGCAUGCUCGAGUUUAUCCGUCUCGGGCUUUGUGGUUGCUGGGGUGGGGUCUUCCCUAUGUAAUAUGUAUUGUUUGUUU